rnacentral:lncRNA from 1 species
GGGGUGUAGAGAAGGUAAAAAAGGAAGUAUGAAAUGACAAUACUUACAUGAGAACCACUCCAUGGAAGUGUUGGUACAGAAGCCGCUUGUGCAAUCAAAGAAGAACCGAUUUUAUCUCCUAAGGCGGACAUAGAUAAAGCAGGAGGGCCAAGAAAUAUAAUUCCUUUAGCCUCCAAUGCAUCUGGUAGUUCAGGGAUUUCAGAUGCAUGACCCCAACCAGGCCAAACAGCAUCAACAUGUGUAAUCUCAGCCGUCUGAAAUUAUUAAACACAAACUCAUCAUUAUAAUCAUUAUUUCUGACUUUGUCCUACACUACUUUAUGCAGCUAAUGAUAUUUUUCCUCAAAUAUUAACAUACUCAUCAUUUCCAUCUUAAAGUUGAAGAUAGAUGGGUUGACAUUUAAAGGUCAAAGUAAAGAAAGAGGAAGAGAAACAAAGGACUCGUAUUUUCCAUUUCUAAAAAAUAUUUAUUUUCUAUAUACAUCUCUACUACUAUAUUGAUUUCCAAUUAAAAGGUUGAUAUAUGAAACAUAAAGUAGUUCUCUUUUGGCAUUCAUAGACAGCAAUAACUAACAAAGCAUCAUAUUUACUUUAACGUCGCUGCAAAUCAUCAUUCUUGCAUGAAUUGGAACAAAUCACAACCUUUGCAAGAAUGUAUAUUUUUGGUAAAAUAAAUAUAACUACUUCUAACUUUCUGAACCAUCAUAUUGGACAUAUUGUUGCUAACAAAUCAUCAUUCUUGCAUUAAAAAAUCACUACCUUAGCAAGAACUAGGGGUGUAAACGAGCCGAGCCGGACCCGAGCUCAACUGGGCUCGAGCUCGGUUCGUCAUGUUUUUAUGAAGCUGGAGCUCGAGCUCGGUUCGAGCAUACUUAUUUGAGCUCGAGCUCGGCUCGUAAGUAAAGCGCAAAGCUCGAGCUCGGCUCAGGCUAGUUUGAGAACAACCUCAAAAGAGCUAAAAGCUCGGCUCUAGCAUGCUUCAAUAUCGCUUGAACGAGCCAAAACUCGGCUCGAGCUCGAGCUCGACUCGCCAAUGUUAUCAUCAUUAUUAAUAUAUUAUGUAAAAAAUAAAUAAAUUUUUGUUUGGGCUCGUUUAGGCUCGAGAUUUGUGUUCAAAGCUCGAGCUCGGGCUCGGGCUCGUUAAAGCUCGGGCUCGGGCUCGUUAAAGCUCGGGCUCGUUAAAGCUCGGCUCGUUCGAGCUUUUAACCGAGCUGAUAACGAGUAGCUCUCGAGCCUCUGGGCUUGUUUACACCCCUAGCAAGAACAGAGGAUUUUUCAUUAUGGGUGCCACAUACCAAAUACCAAUGUUUUUUAUUUUACAUUUACUUUCCUAAAAUUAGUCCAUAAUCACUUGUUCUUGCAAACUAUAGUGUUUUAAGGUCAAUCAUCUGCUACCUAAAUAAAUAACAAGUGCAGGAUCAAUAAAUUACCUCUACAAUGAGUUGCACAUUAGCAUAAUUAUUAUUAUUUGUACCGCCGGGGACUUCAACAAACUGAUCAGCAAUCCUAAUAUGCUCAGCAUUUAUCCUCAUAUCUUCUGGAGUAGCCAUGGCUACCAAUAAAAUAGCUUUUUCUGAACCAAAUGUUUCAUAACUCCAUGUUCUCACACUUCUUAUAAACUUUACAGCCGCCAUUCCAUUAUUUGCAACUAAAAUAUUGUGAAUGGGCCUAUUUCCACCAAGUGCAUAACAAAACUCAUCGAUGGCGGAUCUACUUGCAGAAGACCUCAACGAAAUCCCCCCGUUAAUGUUACCGGUGCCGUAAUUGAAACUCCCGUUUAAAGGCAUCCUCUGAGCUUCUGACAUGUUUCCACUGCCAAACAGAGCAAUCAAUCAAGAUUUAGAACAGCAUCACUUUGACUUUAAAAGUCAAACAACCCAUACAGGCUUUCUUUGACUAGUGAAAUUCAAUUGAUUCAUGAUAGUAUGUAUGAAAUUAAAGUGAAAUUUACACAUACAAGAACAAAGAAAAUAGCUAACAGCAACAACAACAGAAGAGAAGUUAAUUAAACGGCAUACCCACUUACAAAGAUUGGAACUUGAGAAGCAGUUAGGAAGCCCAAAUCCAAUU